AAGUGACGAGGGAAUUACUUGUUUUCGAUCAAGUUGUGUCGUGUCAUUGUUUACUUUUAAUUGUCCCUUUAAUUGUAAAUUACAACUUGUAAUUGUCGUUUGCUAGAUCGAACCAGACUUGACUCUGUCCAAUUACUAUUAAAGGCAGUUCAUCAGGAUGGAUUCGGUCAAGAAAGUCGACGAGGGUAAUGAAAAUACGCAACCCCAUGAUGAAGCUUCCGGCGAUCGGUCUUCCAUACAAGAUGACGAAAAGAGCGACGAAUCCAACGAUGGUGUCAAUACAGAUCCUGCUCUCCAUGAAAGAAAUAUCACAAUUGAAGAGCCUCCGUCGUCCACUGAUGUUUCUUCGGAGGUGAUAGACAUCAGUGACACAGAUGGAGAAGAUGACGUCGAUAAUUUCAUCCCAGUUGCUGCUGGGAUUCAAUAUCUGGUGAAGCGAGCUGACAAUAAUUGGUAUCCUGCUACAGUAAUUCACAGAAGGCCAGGUGACACCGAAUUAUUCGAAUAUUUAGUUCACUACGAAAAUUUUAAUCGACGACUGGAUGAGUGGGUUACACGUGAUCGUAUUCGACGGGAAACCAGCUUGGAAGAACAAACGAUACCAUGUUUUGGGGAAUAUACAGCUAGAUUCUCUUCGGGACUACCAAGAGUUACACGAAGCCGACAAAGGAAACAUGACGAGAUAAAUCAUGUACAAAAGGCAAUCGAGGAAAUGGACCCCACGACGGCGGCAAUUGAACGCGAGCACGAAGCCGUCACUAAAAUAAAGUAUAUUGACAAAAUUCAGAUCGGCAACUACGAAGUAGACACUUGGUACUUUUCUCCAUAUCCGGAAAUGUAUGCAAGAGUGAAAAAAUUGUGGAUCUGCCAAUACUGCUUGCUUUACAUGAAGUACGAAAAUACAUAUCGUCACCAUUUAGGCGAUUGUAAACAUGUACACCCUCCAGGCAAAGAAAUUUAUAGGAAAGGAGCGAUCUCGAUGUGGGAAAUCGACGGUGUCCAUCACAAGUUGUUCUGUCAAAACCUAUGUUUGUUGUCAAAACUGUUCUUGGACCACAAAGCAGUAUACUUUGAUGUUGAGCCCUUCCUAUUUUAUGUGAUGUCUGAAACUAGCCGAGACGGUUCUCGCCUGGUGGGUUAUUUUUCUAAGGAGAAGAAAAGUCUGGAUGGCAAUAAUGUUGCGUGCAUCUUAAUCCUGCCUCAAUUUCAGAGAAAAGGCUUUGGAAAAUUUCUCAUUAGCUUUAGUUAUGAGCUAUCAAAACUUGAAAAUGCGAUUGGAUCACCAGAAAAACCAUUGUCUGAUUUAGGAAAACUGUCCUAUAGAUCGUAUUGGAGUUGGGUGUUGCUAGACGUCCUUCGGGACUUCCGUGGCACUAUUUCGAUUAAAGAGUUGUCCGACAAGACCUUCAUCGCUCAAACAGAUAUUGUUUCAACACUUCAAGCUUUAAACAUGGUGAAAUAUUGGAGGGGUCAGCAGACCAUUUGCGUUACGCCGAAACUGGUUCAGCAGUAUCUAAAGGAUUCUGAAUUGAAGGUACCAAAAAUCAUAGUGGAUCCCUUACACCUUAAAUGGGCGCCACGCAAGAAACUUCCCAACCCAAUAAAAAAUAAGUAGCGACACAGAAAUCCGUUUAGUUCAGAAUUAAAAAUUGAAGUAGUUUGUGUAUUGACAUUUUCUGUUUCUAGUUAAUUUUUAAAUUAACAAAUCCUAUUGUUACUAGAGCUCUCUAAUUGUUACUACUUAAGUCGUCAUAAAAUAUGUGUUAAUUGACUUCACUAAUAGAGUUCAAGAUUUCCCGUCUUAAUUAAUUCUUCCAGCAUUUACCACAAAUGGAUCUACUGUCAGGGUAUUUAUCGCUUUUUCAUUCCGUCCCAAUUUGCACAAUUUGCAUGACAGUUCCCAUAAUUUGUCUUGAAUUUCUAUAUCCUCGGCUUUCCAAUUUGGUCGAAUAAUUUUACAAUUGCUGAUGAAUGUACCUCCACAGUCGAUUAACUCAUCCGACAAUGCCGUGUAAACUACUGUGUCCACCGCCUGGCUAGGAGUCUAACAAACAAUUGACCAAUUGAUGUAUUAUGCAUGCAAAAAAAUGAAUUUACUUAUCAUACCUUCGCAAAUAACCAUAGAACCAGUUUCAUCAUAAAAUAUACAGGUGAAUAAAUUGCGAGCUCGGUCUUUACUA